UACGGAGGGUGCGAGCGUUGUCCGGAAUCAUUGGGCGUAAAGCGCGCGUAGGCGGCCCGGUAAGUCCGCUGUAAAAGUCCAGGGCUCAACCCUGGAAAGCCGGUGGAUACUGUCGGGCUCGAGUCCGGAAGAGGCGAGUGGAAUUCCUGGUGUAGCGGUGGAAUGCGCAGAUAUCAGGAGGAACACCGAUGGCGAAGGCAGCUCGCUGGGACGGUACUGACGCUGAGGCGCGAAAGCGUGGGGAGCGAACAGG
rnacentral:rRNA from 1 species